rnacentral:tRNA from 3 species
CGUUACGUGGCCGAGUGGUUAGGCAAAGGUCCGCAAAGCCUUCUACGGAGGUUCGAAUCCUCCCGUAACAA